GAUGAACGCUGGCGGCGUGCCUAAUACAUGCAAGUCGAACGCACAGCGAAAGGUGCUUGCACCUUUCAAGUGAGUGGCGAACGGGUGAGUAACACGUGGACAACCUGCCUCAAGGCUGGGGAUAACAUUUGGAAACAGAUGCUAAUACCGAAUAGAACUCAGUGUCGCAUGACACAAAGUUAAAAGGCGCUUUGUCGUCACCUAGAGAUGGAUCCGCGGUGCAUUAGUUAGUUGGUGGGGUAAAGGCCUACCAAGACAAUGAUGCAUAGCCGAGUUGAGAGACUGAUCGGCCACAUUGGGACUGAGACACGGCCCAAACUCCUACGGGAGGCUGCAGUAGGGAAUCUUCCACAAUGGGCGAAAGCCUGAUGGAGCAACGCCGCGUGUGUGAUGAAGGCUUUCGGGUCGUAAAGCACUGUUGUAUGGGAAGAACAGCUAGAAUAGGGAAUGAUUUUAGUUUGACGGUACCAUACCAGAAAGGGACGGCUAAAUACGUGCCAGCAGCCGCAGUAA
rnacentral:rRNA from 1 species